CUUUUACAAUGAAGAGUUUGAUCCUGGCUCAGGAUGAACGCUAGCUACAGGCUUAACACAUGCAAGUCGAGGGGCAGCAUUUCAGUUUGCUUGCAAACUGGAGAUGGCGACCGGCGCACGGGUGAGUAACACGUAUCCAACCUGCCGAUAACUCGGGGAUAGCCUUUCGAAAGAAAGAUUAAUACCCGAUGGCAUAAUUAGACCGCAUGGUCUUGUUAUUAAAGAAUUUCGGUUAUCGAUGGGGAUGCGUUCCAUUAGGCAGUUGGUGAGGUAGCGGCUCACCAAACCUUCGAUGGAUAGGGGUUCUGAGAGGAAGGUCCCCCACAUUGGAACUGAGACACGGUCCAAACUCCUACGGGAGGCAGCAGUGAGGAAUAUUGGUCAAUGGGCGCAGGCCUGAACCAGCCAAGUAGCGUGAAGGAUGACUGCCCUAUGGGUUGUAAACUUCUUUUAUAUGGGAAUAAAGUUUUCCACGUGUGGAAUUUUGUAUGUACCAUAUGAAUAAGGAUCGGCUAACUCCGUGCCAGCAGCCGCGGUAAUACGGAGGAUCCGAGCGUUAUCCGGAUUUAUUGGGUUUAAAGGGAGCGUAGGUGGACAGUUAAGUCAGUUGUGAAAGUUUGCGGCUCAACCGUAAAAUUGCAGUUGAUACUGGCUGUCUUGAGUACAGUAGAGGUGGGCGGAAUUCGUGGUGUAGCGGUGAAAUGCUUAGAUAUCACGAAGAACUCCGAUUGCGAAGGCAGCUCACUGGACUGCAACUGACACUGAUGCUCGAAAGUGUGGGUAUCAAACAGGAUUAGAUACCCUGGUAGUCCACACAGUAAACGAUGAAUACUCGCUGUUUGCGAUAUACAGUAAGCGGCCAAGCGAAAGCAUUAAGUAUUCCACCUGGGGAGUACGCCGGCAACGGUGAAACUCAAAGGAAUUGACGGGGGCCCGCACAAGCGGAGGAACAUGUGGUUUAAUUCGAUGAUACGCGAGGAACCUUACCCGGGCUUAAAUUGCAUUUGAAUAAUCUGGAAACAGGUUAGCCGCAAGGCAAAUGUGAAGGUGCUGCAUGGUUGUCGUCAGCUCGUGCCGUGAGGUGUCGGCUUAAGUGCCAUAACGAGCGCAACCCUUAUCUUUAGUUACUAACAGGUCAUGCUGAGGACUCUAGAGAGACUGCCGUCGUAAGAUGUGAGGAAGGUGGGGAUGACGUCAAAUCAGCACGGCCCUUACGUCCGGGGCUACACACGUGUUACAAUGGGGGGUACAGAAGGCAGCUACCUGGUGACAGGAUGCUAAUCCCAAAAGCCUCUCUCAGUUCGGAUCGAAGUCUGCAACCCGACUUCGUGAAGCUGGAUUCGCUAGUAAUCGCGCAUCAGCCAUGGCGCGGUGAAUACGUUCCCGGGCCUUGUACACACCGCCCGUCAAGCCAUGAAAGCCGGGGGUACCUGAAGUACGUAACCGCAAGGAGCGUCCUAGGGUAAAACUGGUAAUUGGGGCUAAGUCGUAACAAGGUAGCCGUACCGGAAGGUGCGGCUGGAACACCUCCUUU
rnacentral:rRNA from 1 species